UUCUCCAAAACCAACUACUUUAAAAUAUAAAACAAAAAAGUGGUAGUUUUCGUUAAUUUACCAAUUUUUCAACCCAUGAUAGGGUUUUAUCGGACACCCCUUGGAUUGGAUUGAGCUCCACCGGCAGCUACAAACCCACUAAAUCACUCCAAAUUCCGAGCAAUGUUCUUUUUUAUAGAAUGAUUUGUGUUUCUUUUUUCUUUCUCGAUCUAGAUUUCUAGAACUUGUUUAAUUAUCGUGAUUUCUUCUUUAUCUCUGUUAAUACCGAGCUCUGCUGUCUGGAGAAGAAGUUGUCGGACUCCAUCAGGGAGGAGGAUGUUAAUGUCCGCAAUCUCUGUAGCUGAGCUUCAAAGGUUUUGGCGCUUAAAUUGAUCAUACCUCAGAAGAAUGGUCUGUAAAUAUUCUACAAAAUAUUUGAAUAUUUGUAUAGGCUCAUUUUUGUAAAUCUCAGCAAAUGCAGAAAGCUGAAUUAGUUAUAAUAGACGGCACACAGAUAGGAGUUCUCCCGGAUGUAGUGACUUACAAUACAUUGAUUGAUGGCUAUUUUCGAUUUAGUGGCAUGGAUGCUGCUUAUUCUGUUCUUUAUAGAAUGAGGGAAGCUGGUAUAAGCCCAGAUGUUAUUACUUAUAAUUCUUUGAUAGCUGGUGCAACUAGGAAUUUCUCAUUAGAACAAUCCCUCGAUCUGUUUGAAGAGAUGAUUCAAUCGGGUAUAACUCCUGAUAUAUGGAGUUACAACACUUUGAUGCACUGUUUCUUCAUAUUAGGAAAGCCAGACGAAGCCUAUAGAGUUUUCAAGGACAUUAUACUCAAAGACCUUUCUCCUCAUCCGGUUACAUUUAAUACAAUGAUUAAUGGCCUUUGUAAACAUGGAUAUACAAGUAAUGCUAUUAUGUUAUUCAGAAAUUUACAACGCCAUGGAUUCAUCCCUCAAUUAGUUACAUAUAAUAUUCUUAUUAAUGGUCUUUGCAAGGUGAGUAGGUUGAGGGCUGCUAUAAGGAUGCUCAAUGAGGCCAUAGAUUCGGGUCUUGAGCCUAAUGCUGUAACAUACACAACCUUAAUGAAAAGCUGCUUUAGAUCUAGGCAAUAUGAACAUGAAUUUGAGAUUUUUUCUAAGAUGACAAAGGAUAUGCUUUCGAUGGCUUUGCUUACUGCACAAUUAUUGGUGCUUUUCUUAAGUUAGGCAGGUUUGAAGAGGCAAAUUUUUAUAUGGAACAGAUGAUAAAGAAUGAUGUAGGAAUUGAUAUGACUUUUUAUAACACAUUUAUUAAUUUCUACUGUAAAGAAGGUAAGUUAGAGGCUGCAUAUAAGUUGCUUGAUGAGAUAGAGUCACGGGGACUAGAAUGCGACGACUGCACACAUUCUAUAAUAACUAAUGGGCUGUGCAGGGUUUGUAAUAUUGAAGGGGCCAUGCGACAUUUGAAUUGUGUGUAUACAACCGGUUUUGCGUCAAACGUAGCCUUAAAUUGUUUAAUUGACAGGUUGUGCAAGGCUGGACAGAUUAAUCGUGCAAUUAGAUUGUUUGAAUCGAUGGAAGCAAGGGAUUCUUUUACCUAAUACCUCCUUGGUGCACAAUCUUUGCAAGGCAAGGAGGUUCCGUCGUGCGUCAAAGUUAUUGAUUUCACGUUCAAGAGGUGGCAUAAAGAUUCUUAAGGCUACACAACGUGCAGUUAUUGACGAUCUUUGUUCUUCAGGAUUUACAAGUGAAGCCAGGAAGCUCAAAUGCAAAUUACGUUUGAUUCGACUCUUUCAUUGAUCAUCUAGGUUUGAAUAUUGCACCUGAUUAUAUAAUUACUUCAACUCCGAAAAUCAAUGUAUUCUCUUCGUAGGCAAUGCAAGCAUCAAGUACUAUAAGGAUGUUUGAGACAGGCAGCACUCAUCAUCUGAAAAAGUCUAGACUUGAAAACCAUGGGAGGACUAGCCAAUUGUUACGAAUGAUUGGCUACACAUGGAAGAUGAAAUGCUUGCAAAGUGAGGGUUGCAUCAGAGACUUUAGUCUCAACAUAGGCUGUCCUUGAUUAUUAUCAUGCCGUUUUCGGAUUGGUAAGUUUCAAAUUUGAUAUGGGUUUUUUUAGGUGUUGAAGUGUUGAAGUGUGAAGUAAAGGUUCUUCUGUCCUUGAUUGUUAUCAUCAGAGAGUUCAGCCUCACAUUCACUACAUGAAAAAGGUCUUUCUAUAGUCUUUGGAUAUAGCCUUUUCCAAAAUGGCCUAUGGAAUUGAAAAGAAAAACAUGCUAAUUUCUUUUAAAAAAAAGCACAUGGCAUAAAAAAGUGGGGGAAAGAGGGAUCUAAAAAGUGUAUCCCUUAUUUUUCAUCCAACUUUUGCUGUCUCACUUGCUCUUCAAUUUUUUGUUUCUCUUUCCCCCUCCCCUCCAUUUUUUUCUAUUUACCUAAAAAUUCUUGUUUUAGAGGACCUCUACAUGUGUGAAUUCCGCGCCUUCGCAUCAAAUUUGGGUACAAUGAGCUAUGAAGAUCCACGACGGUGGAUCUAAUACCAGUGGUGGAUGGAGGGUAGGGAACAAUGGCCAAUCUAAUCUGGUGGCGGCAGACUCUUAGCGAUAGGAGACAAAUGUAGAUUUAGUAGAGGCUUGAUGGGGAGCAACGAGAGGGCAAAGCAGAUUUAGGUUUCACAGAAAGAAAAAACUAUGUAGUGUUUUGGGUGGUGGAGGUUCCUUCAAGCAUCUUGGUUCUAAGCGGGGUUGGGAAAGGUCCUUCAAGUAGAGUGUUUCUGGGCAGCAAGUUCUUUGAUUUAAGUUUCACGGAAGGAAAAAACUAUUUAGUGUUGAGUUUCUUCUGAAUCAUUGUGUUGGUUUGGUCCUUGGAUUCGUAAUGAUUAAUCUCAGUUGAAUGAUAGAUUUGAUUUGAUAGUGUUGAGUUUACUGGAGCUUUUUAUAAGAAAGAUCCCCUGAAACUACAAACAAAUGAAGAUGGGAAAAUUAUGCCUCUGUUGUGCAAAAAAUUGAAGUGGUUUCAGAUCCUGGUAAAACGAUAACUUGUUUUGUUAACGAGCGGGGAUGAAUCUUAUUGGCUCACCGAUAGAUCUUUGACUCUACCUGAUUUUUCGAUCACAAAUUUCUAGAUCUGGGAGUCUGGAAAUGGAGACCGAGAGUGCAAAUAAGUUCGCAUUGUUGCUGGCUUCCACUCUCCUUCAGCUCGCCUCCACCCCUUAGCGGCCAUACGUGUUGAGACUCCUCUCUUUCAACCUCGAGCCUCUAAAAACAACAAUUUGUGAAUCUAUCUCACCUUGUGUGCUUUUGACUUGGAAAUGGAGUGGUGUAAUGCAUUCUAUUUUAGAGAUAACAAUAUUUUUUUACAUCUUUAAUUUUGUUUUGAUUAAUCAAUCAGUUUGAAGUUGAAAGGAAGUCCCUCAGUGUCUGCUCUGUAAUUAUUGACAUGUCUCGUUUUGUAUAGGUAACUGGAGCUUCUCAAUUGAUAAACAUCUUGGAUAUCUGUAAUUCCAAAUGCUCUUUCAUUCCCUUAAUUUGCUUGCUAUGUCCAUAGUUAAGAUCUUAAUACAAAGGAAAAGUGUACUUUGUGCUGAUAGAUAUCCAGAUGAUUAUUGCCACUUGCCUAUUGACUGUGGAAGUUUCCCAGUUUCGAAGGUUGGUUUCGUUCUCCCCGUUCACUGUUUCAAUUCGUCUUCAACUCCCCCGUAAGAUCUAAGUCCCUUUGCAUUUCGUUGAUGGUUGCGUUUCAAUGCGUUGCCUCCGAAAUGCUUCUCCGUCCACUUGUUGGUUUCGUUGACUGGCUUUGUUUCCAUACUUAAGACCUUCGAAACCCUUCUCCUUCCCUUCUCUGAUUCGUUCCAUGGCUGGGCUUUUAGUCUCACCGCUCGGACUUCCCUUUGCCGCUCAGCCUUCCCUUUUACUGAGAAUAGACAAAUGCUACAUCUGGAGUGGCAUUGGAGAAUUUCGAGCAAGGUAGGGAUGGAGGUUCUCGUUUUCACUCGUUUUUUCAAACACCGAUGAUAUGGUCCACCGAAAACUUUUUUCUAAUCGUUAUUUUUCAUGCUCAUGUCUACGUUCUGUCAAUUUGUUACAUUUGGAUUAUGGUUAUUUUUUUAAAAAUAUUUAUCAUAUUUUUUGUUCUGUUUUUGUGUUCAUCUUCUGUCAAUUUGUAAAAUUUGGAUGUCGGUUUGCUUUUACAUAUUUAUGAUAUUUGUUCUGUUUUUGUGUUCAUCUUUCUUCUGUUAACAUGUUGUAAUGAAUUCCUAAUUUUGUAAUUUCUAUGACCUUGCUCAUGGUUCUGUCUCUUCAUACCUGUGCAUACCCUUUGAAGUCCUAUUUUCGUAAUUUGUAUGCCUUUGUUCAUGCUUUUGUCUCUUCAUACCUGUGCAUACCCUUUAAAUCACUCUUUUCCUAUUUUCUAUCCCUUUGUUGGCUGCUGCUUCUGUCUCUUCAUACCUGUGCAUACCCAUUCUGUAUUAACUGUGGUUGGUCUCAUGGUUUAGGGUUUUGAUUAUUUUUUCUGCUUCUUAAAUGUGUCCUUUCCCCUUUGAUUUGUGUUGUCUAUUGUCAUUUCUAGGGAUUGUUCACAUUUUUUGGUUUAGGGGUCUUCAAUGCAUCAUUUAUUUAUCUCAUCCCCAUCUAUAUAUACAUGCUCAUACCUUCUGUCUGUUUGUGUGCAUAUUUCCUUGUUGCUUACCUAGAACUUCCUUUCCAUCUUCUUUGGUAUGUUUACGAAUGCAUCCUGCCAAGCUUUAUGUUUUCUUUUCCUUUGAUGUUCUGUUAUUAUGAAGUCAAGUUAAUGGAGUUGUGUGUGUAUGUGAAUGCAUCCAUUCCUGUGUCUAUGAAGAAGUAUGAAAAUUCAUCCCUUCUUUUCCAAAAUCUAUGUUCUUUCUUAUAGUUUGUCGUGUCAUUGUCAUUUGCUAUUGAAAUGCGGGUUUGGCAAUCAUCUAUUCUUCCUUUCCAUGACUAUAGUGUUGUUGAUUUUUUUGCAAUCCAUGUUUAAAGGUCAUUUUUUCCAUUAUUUGUUCUUCCUUUCUAUGUCUAUUAUGUCAUUCAUUUCUCUACAAUCUAUGUUUGAAGAACACUUUUUUCAUUAUUUGUUAUUCCUGUCCAUGUCUGUAAUGGAAAAAUGUCAUUGAAAUCCAUUCUUGAAGGUCAUUUUUUCCAUUACUUGUUCUUACAUUCCAUGCAUAUACUAUCACUCAUUUCUUAGCAUUGCAUAUUUGAGGACAUUUUUUCCAUUACACGAAAUUCAAGUUCAAAUUCUUGAACGAAUUUUCUUCUCUGAGGCACCAAAAUAUUUCCUUUUCUUUACUUGUUUUUUCUGGAUGACUGUUAACAGUUUUUUUAUUUUUUUCUAUCGUACGGGUAAUUAUUGAUAGGAAAUGGUAUGUACUCGAAACCUUUUUUUUCCUUCUUCCACUAAUAAUGUCUAUAACCAAUACUAUUCUUCAUUUUUUGUAGUAUGCUCGAGUUUGUAGUAAAUUUACGAGAUACUAGGGUUUCCUUGUUUUCAAGUAAUUUUAAUUCUUUUUUGUUCGUCUUUUUGGUUAGUACAUUGUAAUAUGUAGGAAAUGUUACCCACGAACAAUGGUCACGUAGACUUUGUAUGUGGACUGCCAUUUUUUUAAUCUAAUUUACUCCUUCCUUUUGCAUGUCUUUUAGGCCAGUUCCAUUCUUAUGUCUACUUUUGUAGUACGUGGGCAAACUACUUAACCUUUAGCUUUGGAAGAUCACAUGCAUUAGACACUUGGUUAGAAUAAAAAAGGUACUAAUGAAUGACCACAAGAGGCUAGCGCAAACACCUUACGACACUAGGCAUAAAAUUAUGUAGCUAGUUUGUCGUCAAAGUACUAGAAUGGACAAAAGGUGUUUUGCCAUUCUAUACCACCUACUUAGGACUACCACUGGAUUAGCGUCGACAUAAAUCGUUGAUGUCGAGAAGAUGGUUGCAAUGUUCCUGCACAUACUAGUGCAUGACGUGAAGAAUUGUGUUAUCCAAAGGGAGUUCAUGCGAUCCGAUGAGACAAUUUCCCGACAUUUCAACCUAGUCUUGUUGGCUGUGCCACGACUACAUGACGAGUUAUUGAAAACCAUAACCAGUAACAAACCAUGCACAGAUCCCCAAUGAAGGUGGUUUGAGAUGACACAUACAUAAAGGUGAACAUGAUGGCAAUUGGUCGAUCGAGAUAUAGAAUGCAAAAAGUCGAAGUUGUCACAAAUGUUCUGGGAGUAUGUGUUACAAAAAGGCGAUUUUGUGUUCGUCUUAGCCGACUGAGAAGGAUCCACAGUCGACUCGUGCAUCUUUCGAGAUGCUAUUUCAAGAUCGAACGACUUGAAUGUUUCAGAGGAAUAUUACAUGUGCUGAGGGUUUUCUAGCUAUGUACAAAGGACAAAGAUACCACUUGCAGGAGAGGUGUGGAGCAAAAAAUGAACCAACAACAGCGAAAGAGUUCUUCAACAUGAAACAUUCUUUUGCACGAAAUAUUGUUGAAAGAGCUUUCGAUCUAUUGAAGGGUUGAUGGGCAAUCCUUCGAGGAAAGUCCUACUACUCGAUCCAAGUCAAAUGUCACAUGAUCUGGCAUAUUAUCUAUUGCACAACCUGAUCAACAGAGAGAUGACGUCGAUAUAAUAAAUGAUAUCGAUGAGGGUGACUUGACCUUUGCAACAACUGCAGACGACGACAUUCACUACAUUGAGACAUCGAAUGAAUGGAGUUAGUGGAGGGAUGAUCUAGCGAAAGAAAUGUUUAGUGAAUGGGAGUUGCAUAAUCAAUAGUACCCUUAUUGUAGUAGUAGUACCGUAUUACGUUGAUUUGUUAAAUAUAACCAGUUUACUUUGUUUUUUUUUGUAUGUUGUAAAUUUUUUUCUCAAUGUAUCUAUGUACGUACACGAUAAAUGAAGCACUGAUAGAUCACUUCAAGCACAAUGAUCAUUGGAUGUGCUUAUGGUUUUUGUAACACAUUUGAUUGACAUGUUUACGUUUAUUUUACAGUACAACAAGUUCGUCACGAGCUCUUAAACAUUUGUGGAUGAAAGAGGAGUUUACCCUUGUUAAGUGUUUGGUGGAGUUGGUUUCCACUGGUGGCUGGAAAUCGGACAACGGGACCUUCAGAUUCGGGUACCUAGCAUAGUUAUAGAGAAUAAUGGCAGAGAAGUUGCUAGGCUGUAACAUUUAGGGGACCUCGACAAUUAAUUAUCGGAUAAAGAGCUUGAAGAGAACAUUUCAGGCCAUAUCAUAAAUGCGGGGCCUAACAUGCAGUGGGUUUGGUUGGAACAAUGAAGUCAAGUGCAUCAUUGCUGAGAAGGAAUUGUUGGACACUUGGGUGAAGAGCCAUCCUGUUGCCAAGGGCCUCCUACACAAACCGUUUCCCUAUUACGUCGACCUAUGUUACGUAUUCGGGAAAGGUCGUGCUACGGGAGCACGCACAGACUAUGAGGGAUUUUCCAUUGAUGAUGAAAAACGAUAUGGAGAUCACUAUGAUGUAUAGUUAGGGACUAGACAUGUCACCUGACGACAUCACUGGCACACGACCUGGUCAUUCAAGUAAGGGCAGACUUAGUUCACGCGGCUCCAAAAGGAAGCGAGAAGGCCAUACGACUGAGACUGUGGAAAUCAUUCGCACUACAAUGGAAUAUGCAAAUGACCAGUUAAAGGUCAUUGAAGAAUGGCCAAAUUUAUAACGCUAGGAUGCACGCACCUCUCGUACAGGAGUCGUGAAAUAGUUGUAGGGAAUCCUUGAGCUGAGUACUCGUGAUAGGGUGCACCUUAUGUGGAUAAUAAUACACAUAUCGACAACAUGAAAUCAUUCUUGGAGGUACCCAACAAGCUUAAAUUGGACUACUACACGGUCAUUCUCGAAGAUAACGCUUGAGUGGUUGUCCAUUUCCUUCAUUUGUCUCAUUUGUCUGUUAGUACUACACUGACAGAUCAUUUGUCUCAACAUGUACUGUAAAAAACUAUUUAAUGAACGAUUUCCUAUAGUAAUGAAAUUGUGUU